AGCCUGAGAGAGACACACGGAUCCAUGUUAGAAAAAAGCCAUGAAAACCCAAACGUCUGGAUAUAAACAACGUAAAAACCCGACUUUUACCUGAUUCAGACGAAACCGCCUGACAAACCACCACAGCAGACAGCAAGAACCUGUAGCAGGAGUCUCUGCAAUAAUGAAAAAAACAACACAAAAAACACAGAGGUUUUAGUAUGUGGCGCUUCAGUUAUGAAGGAUGUCUGGGGGAGUCUGAGGGAGUAUCGACAGAAAUGGCAGCUGGAAGAGGAGAGGAUACGGAAGAGUGCUCUGGAAAGUGAUUGCAACAAAUUUACCAUCAUGCAGAGGGAUAGAAAUGAGGAAA